UCUUUUAGGCUGUGAAAAAUCUAGAAAUAAAUCCAGUGCCCAUUUUACUCGCUGAUGUUUACUAUAUCAUGAGCAUUUGCCACAGUAGGGAGAAGGGAUCCCUACAUUGUUGUAUUCCAUUGUUGUACCAAUGGUUUGCCUCGCAUCUUUAUAGGGACAUUCAUCUAAUAGAGACCAAGGGUAAUCACGCUUGGGCUCAAAAACUGGCGUCCCUCAAUGAAGGAUCGAUC
rnacentral:lncRNA from 1 species